ensembl:lncRNA
CUGCGGUACUAGUGGGUCUAUGGGUCUUACUGCAGUACUAGUGGGUCUAUGGGUCUUACUGCAGUACUAGUGGGUCUAUGGGUCUUACCUUCAGUACUAGUGGGUCUAUGGGUCUUACUGCAGUACUAGUGGGUCUAUGGGUCUUACUGCAGUACUAGUGUGGUUCUACAAUCCAUUGAUCUCAUCCUGAGAUGUUUCAUGAUGAUCUCAGACUGAGGUGAUAUUUCUAAUAAUACUGGGUUGGACAUAGUCACCGCAGAGCGGAGGGCACAACUUGGCUUGUUCAACCGGUUAAUUAAUGUGUGAUAACAGAUAUGUGUGAGAUAUCAGACACUCCUGUGGUUGUGUGUGAUUACUUCAUAGUCUGUGGACUCUAGUGGUUAGUCAGGACUUAGAUACUAACUGACAUGGAACAGAGUCCAUUCCCUGACUACAGUGAAAUAGGCCUACCGCCUACUCCGGAGAUAUGCAUUGGCUUGGGACAGUGAUCCCCAGGAAUCUAUUUAAUUAAUGCACACAGCUUUUUCACUAAUAAAAUGUUGAAAAGACUACAUCACUAUUUAUUGUUACCAAUAUGACCAUUAGAAUAACAAAUUCAAACUGCUGUUUCAUCAUGAUAUCUUGUUGCUGUUAAUCUGCAUUAUAAGGCUGCGUUGAGACAAUGACUUAUUAAAGACCCAAGCCCAGCUCAGUUAAUCCCUACCAUUGUGACGCUGAGUUGUCAUAAUGCUUCAGGCAAAUGUACAUUACACCAGGGGUGUUGGUAGACACAAUGUACGUCACCAAAUAUAUGUCCCUCUAACUGCCUGAAAGCCUCUGUUGAUCCUACAGCUAUUGCCUGCAGUAAUCAUGUGCCUAUGAACCAGAGUUACACUAUUAGCACUAAGGAGGUGUGUCCUAGUAGGAAGACCACUGUUAACACUGAGGAGGUGUGUCCUAGUAGGAAGACCACUGUUAACACUGAGGAGGUGUGUCCUAGUAGGAAGACCACUGUUAACACUGAGGUGUGUCCUAGUAGGAAGACCACUGUUAACACUGAGGAGAUGUGUCCUAGUAGGAAGACCACUGUUAGCACUAAGGAGGUGUGUCCUAGUAGGAAGACCACUGAGGUGGUGUGUCCCAGUAGGAAGACCACUGUUACCACUGAGGAGGUGUGUCCAAUAGGAAGACCACUGUUACCACUGAGGAGGUGUGUCCUAGUAGGAAGACCACUGUUAACACUGAGGUGUGUCCUAGUAGGAAGACCACUGAGGUGGUGUGUCCUAGUAGGAAGACCACUGUUAACACUGAGGUGGUGUGUCCUAGUAGGAAGACCACUGAGGAGGUGUGUCCUAGUAGGAAGACCACUGUUAACACUGAGGUGGUGUGUCCUAGUAGGAAGACCACUGAGGAGGUGUGUCCUAGUAGGAAGACCACUGAGGUGGUGUGUCCUAUAGGAAGACCACUGUGUGCAUCUCACCCUGCAUUAAUAAAAAAAAAACACAUGAGUAUGUCUGUCUACCUCUGCUAAGCUUCCCAGUAAAGUAAUAAAAACAACCAAGCAUCCCAGAAAUGUGUUAAAAAUAGCCCGUGGUAAUAUAUGUAGCUUAAGAAACAAGGUUCAUCAAGUCAAUAAUUUGCUAGUAACAGAUUACAUUCAUAAUACCUUAGAUGAUACAGUGGUAGCAAUAGAAGGUUAUAACAUUGACAGAGAAGAUAGAAAUGCCAAAGGUGGAGGUGUUGCUGUUUGUAUUCAGAACCACAUUCCUGUGAAGAAUAGAGAGGAUCUCAUGUUAAAUACUGUUGAAGUAAUAUGGCUACAGGUUCAUCUGCCUCACCUAAAGCCCAUUCUGGUGGGAAGCUGCUAUAGACCACCAAGUGCUAACAGUCAGUAUCUGGAUAACGUGUGAAAUGCUUGAUAAUGUAUGUGACAUCAACAGAGAGGUAUAUUUUCUGGGUGAUUUAAAUAUUGACCAGCUUUCAUCAAGCUGCCCACUCAAGGAAAAGCUUUAAAGUGUAAAC